UCUGGAGACAGGUGCUGCAUGGCUGUCGUCAGCUCGUGUCGUGAGAUGUUGGGGUUAAGUCCCGCAACGAGCGCAACCCUUGCCUUUAGUUGCCAGCAGUUCGGCUGGGCACUCUAAAGGGACUGCCGGUGUUAAACCGGAGGAAGGUGGGGAUGACGUCAAGUCCUCAUGGCCUUUAUGACCAGGGCUACACACGUACUACAAUGGCCGAUACAAAGGGCAGCGACACUGCGAGGUGAAGCCAAUCCCGUAAAAUCGGUCUCAGUCCGGAUUGGAGUCUGCAACUCGACUCCAUGAAGUUGGAAUCGCUAGUAAUCGUGGAUCAGCAUGCCACGGUGAAUACGUUCCCGGGCCUU
rnacentral:rRNA from 1 species